AGUGAACGCUGGCGGUAGGCCUAACACAUGCAAGUCGAACGGCAGCACAGGAAAGCUUGCUCUCUGGGUGGCGAGUGGCGGACGGGUGAGGAAUACAUCGGAAUCUACCUUUUCGUGGGGGAUAACGUAGGGAAACUUACGCUAAUACCGCAUACGACCUACGGGUGAAAGUGGGGGACCGCAAGGCCUCACGCGAUUAG
rnacentral:rRNA from 1 species